UACGUAGGGUCCGAGCGUUGUCCGGAAUUAUUGGGCGUAAAGAGCUCGUAGGCGGUUUGUCGCGUCUGCUGUGAAAUCCCGAGGCUCAACCUCGGGUCUGCAGUGGGUACGGGCAGACUAGAGUGCGGUAGGGGAGACUGGAAUUCCUGGUGUAGCGGUGAAAUGCGCAGAUAUCAGGAGGAACACCGGUGGCGAAGGCGGGUCUCUGGGCCGUAACUGACGCUGAGGAGCGAAAGCAUGGGGAGCGGACAGG
rnacentral:rRNA from 1 species